CCUCGCUCAUUCUACCGAUCUCUUCUCGCCAGUAAUUGACGAUGGCGGUAAAGUCGAGGCAUGCGGCUGCAACUGUCAUAAUGCUGUUUCAAUUCAUCCUCCAUAAAAUCUACAAUUCUCGAUCUGACUUUGAAACGAAGAAGCCAUUGAGCUGAAUAAGUGCGCGUCAGCGUCACCAGUUUGACAACGGGGUUUUCAAAUAGGCAAGGAUGUCAAGCUACAAUCACCGUAUGUCACCGUUCACUGCUGGUCAAUGGCCCUCCUGAUUUUAGUUGUUACCACACGCGGUUGGGGGUAAGAUCUUUGUCAUUGUAGACAUCUAUCAAACUUUACACUCUGAGUAGCAGAGGUGUGGUGCACAUGGUUUCUUGGGUCUUCUGGCAACUGAAAACGGACAAUUGUGAAACAUGUUUCAAGCAAAGAGCAAUAUGCGGUGUCAGGAAUCACACCAUGUAGAAGUCUGUUAUAAGGAGAAUCCUCUGAAGAAGGAUCUUCCAACCCCUUCUGUGCACUCCAGUUCACGUUUCCCAAC
rnacentral:sRNA from 2 species